rnacentral:rRNA from 1 species
AGAGUUUGAUUCUGGCUCAGGAUGAACGCUGGCGGCGUGCCUAACACAUGCAAGUCGAGCGAUUCUCUUCGGAGAAGAGCGGCGGACGGGUGAGUAACGCGUGGGUAACCUGCCUCAUACACAUGGAUAACAUACCGAAAGGUAUGCUAAUACAGGAUAAUAUAAGAGAUUCACAUGGAUUUCUUAUCAAAGCUCCGGCGGUAUGAGAUGGACCCGCGUCUGAUUAGCUAGUUGGUAAGGUAACGGCUUACCAAGGCGACGAUCAGUAGCCGACCUGAGAGGGUGAUCGGCCACAUUGGAACUGAGACACGGUCCAAACUCCUACGGGAGGCAGCAGUGGGGAAUAUUGCACAAUGGGCGAAAGCCUGAUGCAGCAACGCCGCGUGAGUGAUGAAGGCCUUCGGGUACGUAAAACUCUGUCCUCAAGGAAGAUAAUGACGGUACUCGAGGAGGAACGCCCGGCUAACUACGUGCCAGCCGCCGC